AGCAGCCGCGGUAAUUCCAGCUCCAAUAGCGUAUAUUAAAGUUGUUGCAGUUAAAAAGCUCGUAGUUGAAUUUCGGGACCAAUUUGUUGGUCGUGCCUCGGUACGUACUGGUAUUAUUGGUUUCUCCCUUCUGAAGAACCAUGAUGCCAUUAAUUUGGUGUCGUGGGGAAUCAGGACUGUUACUUUGAAAAAAUUAGAGUGUUUAAAGCAGGCAUACGCUUGAAUACAUUAGCAUGGAAUAAUGAAAUAGGACGUUUGAUUCUAUUUUGUUGGUUUCUAGGAUCGACGUAAUGAUUAAUAGGGAUAGUUGGGGGCAUUAGUAUUCAAUUGUCAGAGGUGAAAUUCUUGGAUUUAUUGAAGACUAACUACUGCGAAAGCAUUUGCCAAGGAUGUUUUCAUUAAUCAAGAACGAAAGUUAGGGGAUCGAAGACGAUCAGAUACCGUCGUAGUCUUAACCAUAAACUAUGCCGACUAGGGGAUCGG
rnacentral:rRNA from 1 species